CGUUGGAGUGAGAGUUCGCUGCCUACUUUUUGGUAGCUCUUCGCUUCUAAUUGAGAGAAUGACUGACAAACCAUGGAGUGACCUGAACACCUUCCUGGUUUGAGAAGAUUAGAAGAAGAAUCUCUAUCAGGACCAGUCUUCAGCCAUAGGGGUUCUGCUUCUCGGCUUCUAUAAACAACCAGACAAAUAGUGACGGCCAAAGAAACUGUAGGGAAUUCAUAGAAUUUGUAAAAACUUGAAAAAUUAAAUCCUACAUUUAGACCCAGAUC
rnacentral:lncRNA from 1 species